GAUGAAGAACGUAGCGAAAUGCGAUACUUGGUGUGAAUUGCAGAAUCCCGUGCACCAUCGAGUCUUUGAACGCAAGUUGCGCCCGAAGCCAUUAGGCCGAGGGCACGCCUGCCUGGGCGUCACACGUCGUUGCCCCCCCAUCUACUCCUUCGGGAUUGCGGGGGGCGGAUGAUGGCCUCCCGUGCGCCUCGUCGCGCGGUUGGCAUAAAUGCCAAGUCCUCGGCGACGCACGCCACGACAAUCGGUGGUUGCGAAACCUCGGUUGCCCGUCGUGUGCGGUCGUCGCGCAUCGAGGGCUCGAAAAAAUUGCCGGGCUCCGGCUCGGCUUUCAACGCGACCCCAGGUCAGGCGGGGUUACCCGCUGAAUUUAAGCAUAUCAAUAAGCGGAGGA
rnacentral:misc_RNA from 1 species